rnacentral:tRNA from 1 species
GGGGAUGUGGUUCAGCUGGUAGAGUGCUUGCCUGUCAUGCAUGAAGCCCUAGGUUUCAUCCCCA